UACGUAGGGUGCAAGCGUUAAUCGGAAUUACUGGGCGUAAAGCCUGCGCAGGCGGUUGUGCAAGACCGAUGUGAAAUCCCCGGGCUCAACCUGGGAAUGGCAUUGGUGACUGCACGGCUAGAGUGUGUCAGAGGGGGUAGAAUUCCACGUGUAGCAGUGAAAUGCGUAGAGAUGUGGAGGAACACCGAUGGCGAAGGCAGCCCCCUGGGCUAACACUGACGCUCAUGCACGAAAGCGUGGGGAGCAAACAGG
rnacentral:rRNA from 1 species